rnacentral:lncRNA from 1 species
GGACUGAAGAUCUGAAGCUGAUGGUGACUGGGACACCUCAUUUGCCUAGGGGUCCCGUUUGCCUGCGAGGCAGGGUGGGGGACAUCCCCACUUCUGCCUGUGUCAUCUGGGGACCUCUGAGAACAGACUGCUGCCUCCUCCUCUUGGUUCUGCCAACUUCUUGGUCCUUGUUUGAGAUGCCCUGAUUCCUGGUCUCCAUUAGAACCCUGGGAGAGGGUCCUGGUCCUUCCUUUGUUGGCUCCUCUUUAGCCAUUGUCAGCUCUGAGUCCAAAGAAGACACCCGAUGAAGGCUACAGAGGCAAGAGCACUCUGCUUCCAUUAAACACAAGUGACAACUGCCUUGGAGGUAUAGGGCAGUGGGAGUGGCCUCGGGCUUGAGGGUAACGGACAGUCUCUGUGACACAAG